rnacentral:rRNA from 1 species
CAAUGGGAAGUACAACGAGUCGCGAAGUCGCGAGGCUAAGCUAAUCUCUUAAAGCUUCUCUCAGUUCGGAUUGCAGGCUGCAACUCGCCUGCAUGAAGCCGGAAUCGCUAGUAAUCGCGGAUCAGCACGCCGCGGUGAAUACGUUCCCGGGCCUUGUACACACCGCCCGUCACACCACGAGAGUUUGUAACACCCGAAGUCGGUGAGGUAACCUUUUGGAGCCAGCCGCCUAAGGUGGGAUAGAUGAUUGGGGUGAAGUCGUAACAAGGUAGCCGUAUCGGAAGGUGCGGCUGGAUCACCUCCUUUCUAAGGAA